AUACGUAGGGUGCGAGCGUUGUCCGGAAUUACUGGGCGUAAAGAGCUCGUAGGUGGUUUGUCGCGUCGUCUGUGAAAUUCCGGGGCUUAACUCCGGGCGUGCAGGCGAUACGGGCAUAACUUGGGUACUGUAGGGGAGACUGGAAUUCCUGGUGUAGCGGUGAAAUGCGCAGAUAUCAGGAGGAACACCGGUGGCGAAGGGGGGUCUCUGGGCAGUAACUGACGCUGAGGAGCGAAAGCAUGGGUAGCGAACAGGAUUAGAUACCCUGGUAGUCCAUGCCGUAAACGGUGGGCGCUAGGUGUAGGGGUCUUCCACGACUUCUGUGCCGUAGCUAACGCAUUAAGCGCCCCGCCUGGGGAGUACGGCCGCAAGGCUAAAACUCAAAGGAAUUGACGGGG
rnacentral:rRNA from 1 species